rnacentral:rRNA from 1 species
UACGUAGGGGGCAAGCGUUGUCCGGAUUUAUUGGGCGUAAAGAGCGUGUAGGCGCCAUACAGUCAGCUGUGAAAACUCGAGGCUCAACCUCGAGACGUCGGUUGAAACCGUAUGGCUAGAGUCCGGAAGAGGAGAGUGGAAUUCCCGGUGUAGCGGUGAAAUGCGCAGAUAUCGGGAAGAACACCUAUGGCGAAGGCAGCUCUCUGGGAACGGUACUGACGCUGAGACGCGAAAGCGUGGGGAGCGAACAGG